rfam:Bacteroides fluxus YIT 12057 genomic scaffold Scfld13, whole genome shotgun sequence.
AAAAAGGCGCUUUUAAGCGCCUUUUUUUUAUAAAUCACAAAAUCUU